rnacentral:rRNA from 1 species
GUCUUUUUGAAAAUAAUUUAAAGUCAAAUCUGCCCACUGAAUUUAUUUAAAGGGCUGCAGUAUAUUGACUGUACAAAGGUAGCAUAAUCAUUAGUCUUUUAAUUGAAGACUUGUAUGAAUGAUUUGAUGAGAUAUAGACUGUCUCUUUAUUAAAAAUAGAAUUUAAUUUUUUAGUUAAAAAGCUAAAAUAUUUUUAAAAGACGAGAAGACCCUAUAGAGUUUUAUAAUUUAUUAAAUUUAAAUUUUAUAUAAAUUUUUAAAUUUAAAUUUAAUAAAUUAUUUUGUUGGGGUGAUAGAAAAAUUUAAUAAACUUUUUUUAAAAAUUUUACAUUAAUUUAUGAAUAUAUGAUCCAUAAUUUUUGAUUAUAAGAAUAAAUUACCUUAGGGAUAACAGCGUAAUUUUUUUUUUUAGUUCAAAUAAAAAUUAAAGUUUGCGACCUCGAUGUUGGAUUAAGAUAAAAUUUAAAUGCAAAAGUUUAAAAUUUUGAUCUGUUCGAUCAUUAAAAUCUUACA